UAGGAAGUAGUAUAGUUGGGAGUACUGGGAGUUUUGAUCUCCAGGGCAUAGGUUCGAGUCCUUUCUUUCUAA
rnacentral:tRNA from 1 species